AGAACAAAAUAAAAGAGAGGUAAUGGGCAGUAGGGAGAGAGAUCUUUCUCAAAGGCAAAGGGGAGGGAGAGAUAGAGGAGGGAGGGAAGGAGCCAGGGGAGGGAGAGGGAUGACAACGGCAGGUUUGUUACGUACAGUCCCUUCGCCACGGGAGGAGCGCAGUCACGAUGCACUGCAGACGUGGACGAAACGUGCAAACAGAGCGUCGCCCGGCAGGACUUUCAGACUUUCAGUUCCGUCCAGGAGGCCCUGUGCCGCUGGGGGGCGCUGUGGGAGUGAGGGCCCUAGAGGCCGGGUGCAGACGGGAGUCCCUGGCCCUGGCCUGAUGGCCACAGUCCCGGUGUCUGUGGGGCCCAGCCGGGCGCCUCCCGCUCUCGGCCAGGCCUGCGGGGCAGAGGCCAGCGGCGUGCAGCGCUCCGGCCGCGCCCCGCCUCCCACCGCCUCUCCUCCGCGUGCCAGGGACCCGGCAUUCAACCCCCGCAGGAGGGCCCGGCUCCUCAGGCUGCGGUCACGGCUUACACCGGCUCCCGGAUGCUCAGUUUCCCCGAACGCAUGUCAGACGAGCACGCAAAACCCGGUGCAAAGAGCUAGAACUGCGUCACAGAAGUGGCUGCCUGCAGUGUGACGCGGGUUCGGGUUCGGGCUGAAGUUCGGGUUCGAGGUCAUCACAGAGCAGCAGCGGCCUGGCGAGUUUUAGUAAAUAGUCACAGGGCGUAGCUCAGAAACGAGGAGUGGCCCGAGCCCCCGUGGCCGCAGGACUGUUUGCGAGACUCGGCCUGUGUUCAGCUGAAUGAUUCUUGCGAGAACUUCUGCCCCCAGUCCACUGAUCGCUUCCUUACAGCGAACACCUACCUAGCAGGCUUCCUGCCUCCUGAUCGCUUCUGCCCAGUUUCACUGUAGCAGCCACAGAUUCUGCUGGGACGCGGGGCUAUCCCCAUUACCCAUCUGCCUCCAGCCUCCAGGAAACUUUUCAUCUCACUCAAGCAAGAGCAAGUGUCCGUACAUUCUCCACCUCGCUCGCCAGUACCGCCCUCCCUCACCUCUCUGGUAGUCCUCUCUCCUCCUUCUAUUCUUGCCCUGGGCCAGGCCCUUUCUCCUGCUGUUGCUUUUGUCUUGAAAGCGUCUGGAGUUCAUCCAGGUUGUUCCCUCAUCCUCUCCCACAUUUAGUCAGACUUUCUCAGCCUGUUAACCCCACUGUCCAUCUUUUCCCUGAUUUAUUUUCUCCUUUUCACUUCAAUGAUUUAUCUAUUUGGCUCAUUUACCUGUUUUAUCCAUUACUAUAAAAUGUGAGACCCAUGAAAGCAGGCAUUUCUGUGUCUUGUUCACUGAUCAAUCAGCAAGAUUAUCCCAGUUCCUGGCCCAUGUUAGGUGCGAGGAAAGUAUUUGUGGAGCGAACAGGUGGUGACCGUGCCUCAGGCGGUCACUCUGGGCCCAGCUCUGUGACCCACUCUUACUGCUCGGAC
rnacentral:lncRNA from 1 species